rnacentral:rRNA from 1 species
AUUGAACGCUGGCGGCAUGCCUUACACAUGCAAGUCGAACGGUAACGGGCCUUCGGGUGCCGACGAGUGGCGAACGGGUGAGUAAUGUAUCGGAACGUACCUUUCAGUGGGGGAUAACGUAGCGAAAGUUACGCUAAUACCGCAUAUUCUGUGAGCAGGAAAGCAGGGGAUCGCAAGACCUUGCGCUGAUUGAGCGGCCGAUAUCAGAUUAGCUAGUUGGUGAGGUAAAGGCUCACCAAGGCGACGAUCUGUAGCGGGUCUGAGAGGAUGAUCCGCCACACUGGAACUGAGACACGGUCCAGACUCCUACGGGAGGCAGCAGUGGGGAAUUUUGGACAAUGGGGGCAACCCUGAUCCAGCCAUGCCGCGUGAGUGAAGAAGGCCUUCGGGUUGUAAAGCUCUUUCGGUAGGGAAGAAAUCUCUUGUCUUAACACGGCAAGGGUUUGACUUAACCUACAUAAGAAGCACCGGCUAACUCUGUGCCAGCAGCCGCAGUAAAAC